rnacentral:lncRNA from 1 species
CGGGAGGAGCUAUGGGGCUGGGGGCGGGUCUAUGGGGCCGGGGGCGGGUCCACGGGGCAGCCGUGGGUCACGCGUCCCCCCCCGCCCCACGGCAGGCCCAGGCGGAGCUGUGGGAGCCGCUGUGGUCCCUGCUGAGCGACCUGCGCUUCCUGGGGGCCCACGUGCGCUGGGGGGCCCUGGAGGUCCUGCCCCACAGCCUGGGGCUGCUGCGCGAGGCGCAGCAGCGGGGGGCCGUGGCCGCCGUGGGGCUGGAGGAGGUGGCCGCCGUGGUGGAGGCCACCCUGGAGCUGGCCCAGCAGGAGCUCUAUGCCGUGGGGCAGCGGGAGGAAGCCAACGCGGGGCAGGAAGAAGCCGCCGUGGGGCAGGAGGAGCUCGCCGUGGGGCAGGAGGACCUCACCAUGGGGCAGGAGGACCUCACCAUGGGGCAGGAAGACCUUGCCAUGGGGCAGGAGGACCUCGCUGUGGGGCAGGAGGACCUCGCCGUGGGGUGGGAGGACCCCGCCGUGGGGCUGCUGGUGGGGCUGGCGCAGGAGGCAGCCAACGCCCCCCCUUCCUGCCCCCUACGCGCCCAAGUCCGGGACCUGCUGCCCCCCGGCCACCGGCUGCUGCUCCGCCCCCUGCCGGAUCCCGGCACCCGCCCCCCGGACAGGUGGGUGCUGCCCCAUAGCGGCCCCGGAGCACCCAUGGGUGUCUUCCCCGGACGCCUGGGCCCCUUUUCCCGGACACCUGGGCCCCUUCCCGGACACCUGGGCCCCUUUUCCCAGACGCCUGGGCCCCUUCCCGGACGCCUGGGCCCCUUUUUCCCGGACUCCUGGGCCCCUUCCCAGACUCCUGGGCCCUUUUCCCGGACGCCUGGGCCCCUUCUUUCCCCCCGGACGCCUGGGCCCCUUCCCAGACACCUGGGUCCCUUCCCGGACGCCUGGGCCCUUUUCCCGGACACCUGGGCCCCUUCCCGGACGCCUGGGCCCCUUUUCCCGGACACCCGGGCCCCUUUCCCAGACACCUGGGCCCCUUUUCCCGGACUCCUGGGCCCCUUCCCGGACACCUGGGCCCCUUUUCCCGGACGCCUGGGCCCUUUUUCCCGGACACCUGGGCCCCUU